GCCUAUUUUAUUCUUUUAAUUAUGGGACUUUUAUUUCAUUUGGCCAUUAUUUUAUCCCUCCAUAAUUAAUUAAAUAAUUCUUUAAACUUUAACCUAAUCCUAUACAAACACCUAAACUAAACCCUAGCCCCCAUCUCCCUCAAAAUUUCGUGCCUCCCCCCUUCACUCUCCAUCCUCUCCAAAAACUUCUUCCCUCAAUGUUUCUUGCAUAAAUUGGAGUGGAUUUUUCAAGAGUUUCGACGAAUCGCCUCCAUCCUUGUUCCUACCGUUCGUUUUCGUGAUUCGAAAAGGGUGUUGUGUAUUCGUGAACUCGAGGAUCGAGAGUUGCUAAGUUGGGUUGUGAUUUUGCUAAGAGAACGAGGUUGAGCGGGAUGUUGCGGUGGAUGUUGAGCUGGCUUGAGAACGUAGGAUACGUUGCUACGUCAUACAUAGGCGUAGUCCUUGACUCUCCUUAAACUCUAUUUUCCGCUGCUAUAACUUGAACCAUGUCUCAAGACUUUAAUCUUUUCUUUAU